rnacentral:rRNA from 1 species
AGUCAGAGCCUACGGGAGCAGCAGUAGGGAAUCUUCCACAAUGGGCGCAAGCCUGAUGGAGCAACACCGCGUGAGUGAAGAAGGGUUUCGGCUCGUAAAGCUCUGUUGUUGGAGAAGAACGUGCGUGAGAGUAACUGUUCACGCAGUGACGGUAUCCAACCAGAAAGUCACGGCUAACUACGUGCC